AAGGAUCAUUACCGAGUGAGGGCCCUCUGGGUCCAACCUCCCACCCGUGUCUAUUGUACCUUGUUGCUUCGGCGGGCCCGCCGUUUCGACGGCCGCCGGGGAGGCCUCGCGCCCCCGGGCCCGCGCCCGCCGAAGACCCCAACAUGAACGCUGUUCUGAAAGUAUGCAGUCUGAGUUGAUUAUCAUAAUCAGUUAAAACUUUCAACAACGGAUCUCUUGGUUCCGGCAUCGAUGAAGAACGCAGCGAAAUGCGAUAAAUAAUGUGAAUUGCAGAAUUCAGUGAAUCAUCGAGUCUUUGAACGCACAUUGCGCCCCCUGGUAUUCCGGGGGGCAUGCCUGUCCGAGCGUCAUUGCUGCCCUCAAGCACGGCUUGUGUGUUGGGCCGCCGUCCCCGGUUUCCCCCGGGGACGGGCCCGAAAGGCAGCGGCGGCACCGCGUCCGGUCCUCGAGCGUAUGGGGCUUUGUCACCCGCUCUGUAGGCCCGGCCGGCGCCAGCCGACACCCAACUUUAUUUCUAAGGUUGACCUCGGAUCAGGUAGGGAUACCCGCUGAACUUAA
rnacentral:rRNA from 3 species